GUUGAAACAUCGGUUCGCGUAUGAUCACCGAAGUUAAGCAACUUCGAGCCUGGUCACUAUCUACAUGGGUGACCACUUGCGAAUACCAGCUGUUGCAUA